ACAUGGCUGCCCCCUUGCCAAAAGGGAAAGAGGGUUCCCACUCCUAAAUGCAGCCCUAGUAAUGGAAUACAGUGUUCCCUCACUUAUCAUGGGGGUUACGUUCCAGGACCACCUGCAAAAAGUGAAAAUCUGCGAAGUAGGGAUGCUAUAUUUGUGUUGUUUGCAAGUAGCGUCUCUGUCCCUUCCUCGCCUCUCAAGCAGGCAUAUGCGUGCUCCUGCCACUACCGCUGCCUUGUGAGGCGAAAACAAAGCUGCUUCAGCAUCCUUUUCUCUCCCUUCCUUAGGCUUCUCCUUCGGAAGAAGUAGAAAGAGGGAUUUAUAAGGGAUUUAUAAUAUUAUUUUAUGAUUUACACUAUUAUUUUAGUGUUUAUUAAAAACCCGCAAAACAGCGAGGGAACACUGUGUAACCAGUAUUUAGAAUAUAUAGAAAACAAUUUAGACUGAUACUGUGAAAAAGAAUUAAAUGAAGACCAUCUUAGCAUGCAAAAGUAUUCCAAAAGGUAAACCAGUUGUUUUUUCUGUCAAGAUACUGGAACUUAUAGCUAACAAGUUCUCCCCAAACUAUUAAAAUAUUAAAUAGCUGCAGUCAACAGCUUGAUGGGUUAUAUCAAUUCAGUAUGUUGACUUCAAGCCUCCUUAUUGCUGCCGUGUUGACCACUUCCAUCUCAACUCUAAACUACUUCAUUUUUCAACCCACAAUCUCCCUCCCUCCCACUACCUUAUCUUUAGCUCUCCUUUCAUCCUUAACUCCUUCUAUCUGUCCUCUCUUUUGCACUUCAGCUAAUUAUAGCCAGUAAUACUUUGUCUCUGAAUAUGAUUUGCUAAGCUGACCUAACAUUAUGACAUCAUCCACAUAACAAAAGCCUCUAGGUUCAGUUGGUAUCACAGUAGCUAUUAAUCUGUAUUGAUAUGCAACUUCACUUACAUCACAGGCCAGGUAACUGGGUAAUUGUUUCAAGGUCAGGGAGAAGAACUGAAAUCAGCCUCUUGCCGAUUUUCCAAAGCGGCUAGUGGUCUACUCAAAAGUGCUUUCAAAGGCAGAGAAAGCAACCAGUUACUCUUACAAGAAGAGAUGGAAAGAGAGAUGUCCACUGGCAAAAUGACCCAUGAAAUCUGGCUUGGAAUAUGACUUGAAGAAGCUGGGAAUUUGAAAUAGCAUUCCCUAUGUGUAAGAAUAAGCAUGGCAUAGUAUUUUGAAUACUGGGCUCCUACUCCGGAGACUUGGGUUUGGAAAAGCACUGGGAAUCUUCACCAAGUAUCACUCUCUCACCCAUAAAGGAAGGCAAUUGCAAAUUUCCUCUGAACAAAUUUUGCUGAGAAAACCACAUGAUCAUCUCACCCUAGGAUAACCAUAAAUUAAAAAAAAACAUUUGAAGGCACAAAUAACGCCCCCAUCCUCCUUCAAUAUUUUAGUGCUCCUUUUAAUUCGAUUUUCCUUCUCCAUCUAGUUGUGUAGUUUUGUAGAGAAAAUGACAAAAAAAGCUUUCCCUGAUGGCGGAAUUUUCCAAAUACUACUUUUUCUUCCUGUUAGCUUUUCCCAAUUGGUUGGUAACACCAAAAUUUAAUUACAUUUGGGAAACUGGUGAAUUCUUAUUCCAUUCCAAGUCAGAAAGCAGGUAUUUAAGUACCUGGGGGUUGAAAGAAGUGAUAGUUAUGUGGGCCUACAGCACCAAACAGGCUGGGUCAAAAGAGUUGCUUUAAGGUCUAUGAACUCAGUUGGAUUUGAAUGUAAUUGUACUAUGGUAUGAUAUCUGCUGGGGAAGGACAAAACCCUAUGGCAAAGUUGCCCCAGUUGUUAUCUUCUUACCUGCAGUAAACUCCAAGGGACAGUUCAAAUAUCGCCUUAGGCUAUUUUCAUCUGCUUUCUUCAAACCCUAGAACUUGCUUCAUCAGUCUAUUUAACCUGGGUGGCACCUGCUUCAGGUAGGACAAAGAGAAGCAUGUAUUUGUGCAAUAAAGAACUAACAUUUGGAAUUCAUCGCCACAGGAUGUUGUGCAGGCUACCUGCAUAAAUGGCUGUACAAAAUGUUUUGAAACUUAGGUUACUGCAGAAAUUGCUGUUACUGGGGUCCAUGGGUUCCCAAGACAAGUUGAUAGGGUUUGCUUUCAUAACCUGCUAGAACUUUCAUAGUAUUCAUGUAAGCUUUAUGAUAAAUAUGAAAUGAGUAAUUUCUCAGGAAUCCUAGUAUUCUUCCAGCACUGCAGUCUGAUAAUUUCUCACAACCUCUCCAUUACUGGCAGGUUACUGACUUUCCUAUUUGCUUUGCUGACAUGUCUUUAAGAUCAA